UGGACUUAUUGCAUAGGUGGCUACCUAUCACGUUACCAUGCUGGAAUUCACUGAGUUCCCGAGAGCGACCCAUUCUUUCACAAAUGUUUGUAGAAGCAGUCUGCAUGCCUAGGGACCCGUGUCUUCCACCU